GAUGAACGCUGGCGGCGUGCCUAACACAUGCAAGUCGAGCGAUGAAGUUUCCUUCGGGAAAUGGAUUAGCGGCGGACGGGUGAGUAACACGUGGGUAACCUGCCUCAUAGUGGGGGAUAGCCUUCCGAAAGGGAGAUUAAUACCGCAUAACAUCAUUAGAUGGCAUCAUUUAGUGAUCAAAGGAUUUAUUCGCUAUGAGAUGGACCCGCGUCGCAUUAGCUAGUUGGUAGGGUAAUGGCUUACCAAGGCGACGAUGCGUAGCCGACCUGAGAGGGUGAUCGGCCACAUUGGGACUGAGACACGGCCCAGACUCCUACGGGGGGCAGCAGUGGGGAAUAUUGCACAAUGGGGGAAACCCUGAUGCAGCAACGCCGCGUGAGUGAUGACGGUCUUCGGAUUGUAAAGCUCUGUCUUUGGGGACGAUAAUGACGGUACCCAAGGAGGAAGCCACGGCUAACUAC
rnacentral:rRNA from 1 species